UAGACUGCAUCAUGUUUAUGGUCACACGCUUUAGAAAAAACAUCAUGAGGUUACAGCUCUAUCUUCUCAUAUGGGCUCAAACUGUAAAUGCUUUGAUGGAUAAACUAACAGAUUUAGGACAGAAUGUGACUAUAAACUGUGAUCUAGAUGUGAAAGAGGUUUAUUGGAUUUUACUAAAACUACCAGAUCCACCAGUUAUCAUAUUGCGCUCCACAAAACAUAAACCUUUUCACCACAAUAUAAAAUAUAUACAAAAAUAUUUUAUUCAAUCUAAACAUCAACUGUUUAUCAAUAAUGUCACUCUUGAUGAGUUAGGAGUUUAUUACUGUAUGAACACAGACUCAGACACAACAAGUAAAACAUUCAGCAAUGUCACCAGAUUACACAUCACUAAUCCAAUUCCAGAAAGCCAAAAUAAAACUGAAGUGACGCAUGUUGGGCCGACUCUGACAGAAUGGAAGAUUAUUGUCAUCGUAUUUGCUGCAUUUAAUGCUGUUAUGCUCAUCGUGGUUAUAGGACUUGCAGUGGCUCUUAUUCAUGAAAGAACCAGAAAAAGCACAAAACAGUGUGAAGAUAUUGACCCACAGGAGCUCAUGGAUUUUGAAAAAGACUCAACCCAAAUCCAGGUAAACAAAUUAUUAUUUAUUAGAAUAAUUGAUGAAGGGCUGUUGAAUGAUUUGAAAUUAAUGCACAACCAAGGUGGUAAUGCAGCACUACAGUAUGUGAAGCUGGUGUGCAUUAUAUUCAAAUAAUUUUAAGGACCGGAGUCAAUUAUUCCUCUUAUACCAAAGUUACCACAAACAUCGCUCUGGUGCCUAUAUAUUUAUAAGACAUUUGACCAGUUAAGUGUGCAGU